rnacentral:lncRNA from 1 species
AAAUUAUCACUUUGGUACCUGUACUAUUUUUAUUAUCAGUUUGACCUUUGUAGUUUAUUUUUUAUUAGUUUGACAUUUGUAUUUUCAUUCCGUUAAUCUUGUUACCAACCUAAAUUUUUGUUAAAAAAAUAAACCAACCAAUAGCACAUUGCCACAUGUAAAACAAUCACUUAAAAAUGUUAAAAGAUACAAAAAAUGAAAAAAAAAAUUAAAAAAAUCCAAAAAAGCCC